UUUCCGUAGGUGAACCUGCGGAAGGAUCAUUAUUGUAUAACCGAGGUGCGAGGGCUGCCGCUGACCCGAUCGGUCGUGCACGCCCGAGUGCCCUCACACACUUCCCUCUCACCCCUAUGUGCACCACCGCGUGGGUCCCUCUUUGGCUUGUUCGGAGGGGGGCUUACGUUUUCACACAAACUUUGUAUGCAGUGUAGAAUGUAUUUUUUGUUUUUGCGAUCACGCAAUCAAUACAACUUUCAACAACGGAUCUCUUGGCUCUC
rnacentral:misc_RNA from 1 species